rnacentral:rRNA from 1 species
GAUGAACGCUAGCUACAGGCUUAACACAUGCAAGUCGCGGGGCAGCAUGGGGGUUGCUUGCAAUCCCCGAUGGCGACCGGCGCACGGGUGAGUAACGCGUAUCCAACCUGCCCUUCACCACGGGAUAACCCGGCGAAAGUCGGACUAAUACCGUAUGUUGUCCAUUGACGGCAUCCGAUUUGGACGAAAGGCUUGGCGGUGAGGGAUGGGGAUGCGUCCGAUUAGCCAGACGGCGGGGUAACGGCCCACCGUGGCUACGAUCGGUAGGGGUUCUGAGAGGAAGGUCCCCCACACUGGAACUGAGACACGGUCCAGACUCCUACGGGAGGCAGCAGUGAGGAAUAUUGGUCAAUGGGCGUAAGCCUGAACCAGCCAAGUAGCGUGCAGGAUGACGGCCCUAUGGGUUGUAAACUGCUUUUAUGCGGGGAUAAAGUGGCCCACGUGUGGGCUGUUGCAGGUACCGCAUGAAUAAGGACCGGCUAAUUCCGUG